rnacentral:rRNA from 1 species
AGAGUUUGAUCAUGGCUCAGGAUGAACGCUGGCGGCGUGCCUAACACAUGCAAGUCGAACGGUAAUAUAAGGGCUUGCUCUUAUAUUAUAGUGGCGGACGGGUGAGUAACACGUGGAUAAUCUGCCUUAUACAGGGGAAUAACACUCAGAAAUGAGUGCUAAAACCCCAUAAGCUCACAGGAUGGCAUCACUCAGUGAGAAAAUAUUUAUAGGUAUAAGAGGAGUCCGCGUCUGAUUAGCUAGUUGGUAAGGUAAAAGCUUACCAAGGCGACGAUCAGUAGCCGGCCUGAGAGGGCGAACGGCCACAUUGGGACUGAGACACGGNCCAAACUCCUACGGGAGGCAGCAGUGGGGAAUAUUGCGCAAUGGGGGAAACCCUGACGCAGCAACGCCGCGUGAAGGAAGAAGGUCUUCGGAUUGUAAACUUCUAUCGACAGGG